rnacentral:lncRNA from 1 species
GGAAAAGGAUGAUGGUGAGGCUGAAAGCAGGAAAAGAUUUGACCCAUCUCCCAGGUUGGGCCCAGGCCAGAGGUCUCUACCAGCAAAGAGGAUAAAAGAGACUACACCUGGACAAACCCUCCCAGGCCCAGGCCUGAGCCUCACAUGUGGCCCCGGGGAAGGCAUCAGGGACUCCCUUUGCCCUCCCACUGACCUCCCUGCAAACCUCCCCCAAACCAAGGGGCAUCCUCAGCUGGCCAGACCCUGGGGGAAGGGAGAGAGCCGAGGAUCACCGGCACCUGUGGCUGGGUUACCCCUGCCAUGGACCACUGGGUGAUCAAGAAGUCAUUCCAAAAUGUGAAGCGUUCUGAAGAUAUGCACAUAGCGUAAGAACCUGGUGUAAUGUGCUGGUCAAGGCGGUCUCAGAGAGGAGAUGACGUUUGAGCUGACACCUGAGGGAUGAGAAGAAAGCAGCCAUUCCCAGGGCCCAGGGGAGGCAUCCCAGGAAGCCGGAUCAGCAUGAGCAAAAGCCCUGAGGCCUGGCACAAGUUGGUCUGCUUGAGAAGCAGGAGAGAGCCCUGAGCAUCCGGAGUGCAGCAAGCGAGAUGAGCAAGUCAAGAUGCAGAAGGACUCUCUGGCUUGUCCAAGGUCACACGGCUGUUAGGAGCAGAGCAGCGUCCUGGUGCCCAAGCCCUGAGGUCCCCAGCACACUGCCUCUGCAAUGGCCACAACUGUCCAAAGACUAAGCUGACUCUCACACCUGGUAGUGUCUGUGGUCAUUCACUGUGGAUGGAAGUGGAGAAAUGCAGAAAACAGAAACACAGCUUCCCCUUUUCUGUCAUAUUUCUGUAUCGUUGGUGUUUGGAGCCAGUUGAGCACAAAGGGCCCCUGAGUGCUGUUUCCUUGUGAUAUUUGGGGGUUAACAGCUUCCCCUCAUCUCUUAAUUACCUGCCCUCCUUCACUUCAGCUGCACAUUCGUUAAAGAAUGCUCUCCCAGGAGAAGAGCUUGGUGUUAUCACCCACAAACAUCUUAGAAAACUAAUGCUAUCCUUGAGUGCCUGUUUACAGAAACAUUUUUACAUCUCACUUGACAUUUCCAGCAAAUCUUGAUCCUUCCAGCCAGGAAUAUUAAUAUAUAGGUCUUGAAAAGUGCAAGAGGCUCUUCCAUGGCUCCAAGCACAUUUGACACUCUUCCUUUUCUGAUCCCCAAGCAGACAGUGAUGAAACCCCAAUAGCUGGGCGAAUACUCAUCCAACAGGAAGAAUCAGUUUUAAGAGCUGGGUUCUCAGGGUCAAAUACUGUGGUGUGGCCUUUUGGUUGUAAUGAGUUGAAUGGAGGUCUCAAAAAAGAUAUAUCCAUGUUCUAAUCCCCAGAACUUGUGAAUGUGACCUUAUUUGGAAAAAGAGUCCUUUUGGAUGUAAUUAAGUUAAGGAUUUUGAGAUAAGGAGAUCAUCCUGGGUUAUCUGGGUGGACCCUAAAUCUGUUGACAAUGUCCUUAUGAGAGACCCCAGAGGGCACAGACAGGAAAGGAAGAGGCAAUGUGGCCCCAGAGGCUGAGAUCAGAGCUCUGUGGCCACAAUUCGAGGAACACCUGGAGCCACCAGAAGCUGGAGGAGGCAAGGAACAGAUUCUCCCUGAUCCUCUGGAUACAGAGGGAGAAUAGCCUGGCCGACACCUUGAUUUUGGACUUCUGGCCCCCAGAACUGAGAAAAUUAACUUCUGUUGUGUUAAGCAGCCACGUUUGUAGCAGUUCAUCAUAGCAGCCCUGGGAAAGAAAUACAGUGGGCUUCCAGUUCAAGGAGGAUCCACGAGGCCUGAGCUCCAUCUGUCGAUUGGAAUCACCAAAAUCAAGGUUGUGUGCGGGUAACGCCAGCACAAGCAGCUCAUGCUGGCAAAAGCAGACCAAACCGGCUCACGCAACGUCAAGUCAUCUUGAAGUGGUUCACGCACCACAGUGAGUGGUAUUGAUUGUGGUUAAGAGCCAGGUUCAAGGAGGUUUAUCACUCAGUAGCCAGGUAAAGCAGGUUCCAGGCCUGGCUCCACCACUCAACAACCGGGGAAACAGGGGCGGCAAAACUGAAUCCCAGAGAGAAGACUCACUCAGACACAGCUAUCUGAACACUCUUUUCCAGUUCCCCUAGGGCAGCAGAGGAAGCAAGGUGGGGGGAAGCCAGUGGUCAAGGAUUCCAUGCGGAAUGUACCCUAGAAUUAACCCAUGGAGAGAGGGGUCUCGCUCUGUUGCCCAGGCUGUAGUACAAUGGUGCAAUCUCGGCUCACUGCAACCUCUGCCUCUGGGUUCAAGCGAUCCUUUGCCUCCGCCUCCUGAGUAGCUGGAAUUACAGGCAUGCACCAUGAUGCUUGGUUAAUUUUUGUAUUUUUAGUAGAGUCAGGGUUUUGCUAUGUUGGCCAGGCUGGGCUCCAACUUCUGGUCUCAAGUGAUCCACCCGCCUCGGGCUCCCAAAGUGCCAGGAUUACAGGCGUGAGCCACUAUGCCUGGCCAAAAGUGGCGAUGUGUUCUUAAUGCCCAUUUUCACAUAAAAGGUAAUAAUCUACCCACA